CGGGUAGCCAUGGCCGGUUUGGAUAAGCGCUGAAAGCAUCUAAGUGCGAAGCCAACUCCAAGAUAAGGUUUCCCACCGGGUUAACCGGGUAAGGGCCCUGGUAGACAACCAGGUUGAUAGGCCGGAGGUGUAAGAGGAGCAAUCCUUUGAGCUGACCGGUACUAAUAGCCCGAGGGCUUGUUCACCUAUAACUCACUCU
rnacentral:rRNA from 1 species